rnacentral:rRNA from 1 species
UAAUACAUGCAAGUCAAACAAUAACAGGCCUGGCAACAAAUACUUGACGAGUGGCGCACGGGUGCGUAACACAUAUACAACCUACCCUGUACCGGGGGAUAACCCUGAGAAAUCAGGGCUAAUACCCCAUGGUAUUACUCUAUGGCAUCACGGAGUGAUUAAAGAUUCAUCGGUACGGGAUGGGCAUGCGCCCCAUUAGCUUGUUGGUGAGGUAACGGCUCACCAAGGCUGUGAUGGGUAGGGGUUCUGAGAGGAUUAUCCCCCACACUGGUACUGAGACACGGACCAGACUCCUACGGGAGGCAGCAGUAAGGAAUAUUGGGCAGUGGAGGCAACUCUGACCCAGCCAUGCCGCGUGCAGGAAGACUGCCCUAUGGGUUGUAAACUGCUUUUCUACGGGACUAACCGCAGCUACGUGUAGCUGUCUGCAUGUACCGUAGGAAUAAGCAUCGGUUAACUCCGUGCCAGCAGCCGCGGUAAUUCGGGC